GGGUCAGUAGGUUGGUCGUGCCACCGGUACGUACUGGUCUCACUGAUUCCUCCUCCCUGAAGAACCGUAAUGCCAUUAAUUUGGUGUUGCGGGGAAACAGGACUGUUACUUUGAAAAAAUUAGAGCGUUUAAAGCAAGCUAACGCUUGAAUACAUUAGCAUGGAAUAAUGAAAUAGGGCGAUCGAUCCUAUUUUGUUGGUUUCUAGGAUUGACGUA
rnacentral:rRNA from 1 species